UCCGGUGUAGUUUAGUGUAAUGGUAAGAACGCAACUGGACCGCGAACUUCCGUUCGUGGGCGUUGAGACCUAAGUUCGAUUCUUGGCACCGGAC